CCCUUAGAUGUUCUGGGCCGCACGCGCGCUACACUGAUGCAUUCAACGAGUUUCUUCCUGGUCCGAGAGGAAUGGGUAACCUUUUGAAAAUGCAUCGUGAUAGGGAUAGACUAUUGCAAUUAUUGGUCUUCAACGAGGAAUUCCUAGUAGACGUAGUUCAUCAGACUGCAUCGAUUACGUCCCUGCCCUUUGUACACACCGCCCGUCGCUCCUACCGAUUGAAUGCUCAGGUGAGCCAUUCGGACUUUCAUCAUGCUGGUUUCCAGUUUUGAUGAAGGAAAGUCUUGCGAACCUUAUCAUUUAGAGGAAGGAGAAGUCGUAACA
rnacentral:rRNA from 1 species